AACUUAGCGAACUGAAACAUCUGAGUAGCUAAAGGAAGGAAAAUCAACCGAGACCCCGUUAGUAGCGGCGAGCGAGAGCGGA
rfam:Hordeum vulgare subsp. vulgare, WGS project CAJW01000000 data, contig: morex_contig_2471105